rnacentral:rRNA from 1 species
GACAGAGGGUGCAAACGUUGCUCGGAAUCACUGGGCGUAAAGGGCGUGUAGGCGGGUAGAUAAGUCGGGCGUGAAAUCCCCGGGCUCAACCCGGGAACUGCGUCCGAUACUGGAAGGCUUGAAUCCGGGAGAGGGAUGCGGAAUUCCAGGUGUAGCGGUGAAAUGCGUAGAUAUCUGGAGGAACACCGGUGGCGAAGGCGGCAUCCUGGACCGGCAUUGACGCUGAGGCGCGAAAGCCAGGGGAGCAAAGCGGG